UACGUAGGGGCCAAGCGUUGUCCGGAUUUAUUGGGCGUAAAGAGCUCGUAGGCGGUUCGACAAGUCGGGUGUGAAAACUCCGGGCUCAACCCGGAGACGCCACCCGAUACUGUCGUGACUGGAGUCCGGUAGGGGAGUGGGGAAUUCCUGGUGUAGCGGUGAAAUGCGCAGAUAUCAGGAGGAACACCGGUGGCGAAGGCGCCACUCUGGGCCGGUACUGACGCUGAGGAGCGAAAGCGUGGGGAGCAAACAGG
rnacentral:rRNA from 1 species